rnacentral:rRNA from 1 species
AGAGUUUGAUCAUGGCUCAGAUUGAACGCUGGCGGCAGGCCUAACACAUGCAAGUCGAGCGGUAGCACAGAGAGCUUGCUCUCGGGUGACGAGCGGCGGACGGGUGAGUAAUGUCUGGGAAACUGCCUGAUGGAGGGGGAUAACUACUGGAAACGGUAGCUAAUACCGCAUAAUGUCGCAAGACCAAAGUGGGGGACCUUCGGGCCUCAUGCCAUCAGAUGUGCCCAGAUGGGAUUAGCUAGUAGGUGGGGUAACGGCUCACCUAGGCGACGAUCCCUAGCUGGUCUGAGAGGAUGACCAGCCACACUGGAACUGAGACACGGUCCAGACUCCUACGGGAGGCAGCAGUGGGGAAUAUUGCACAAUGGGCGCAAGCCUGAUGCAGCCAUGCCGCGUGUGUGAAGAAGGCCUUCGGGUUGUAAAGCACUUUCAGCGGGGAGGAAGGCGGUGAGGUUAAUAACCUCAUCGAUUGACGUUACCCGCAGAAGAAGCACCGGCUAACUCCGUGCCAGCAGCCGCGGUAAUACGGAGGGUGCAAGCGUUAAUCGGAAUUACUGGGCGUAAAGCGCACGCAGGCGGUCUGUCAAGUCGGAUGUGAAAUCCCCGGGCUCAACCUGGGAACUGCAUUCGAAACUGGCAGGCUAGAGUCUUGUAGAGGGGGGUAGAAUUCCAGGUGUAGCGGUGAAAUGCGUAGAGAUCUGGAGGAAUACCGGUGGCGAAGGCGGCCCCCUGGACAAAGACUGACGCUCAGGUGCGAAAGCGUGGGGAGCAAACAGGAUUAGAUACCCUGGUAGUCCACGCCGUAAACGAUGUCGAUUUGGAGGUUGUGCCCUUGAGGCGUGGCUUCCGGAGCUAACGCGUUAAAUCGACCGCCUGGGGAGUACGGCCGCAAGGUUAAAACUCAAAUGAAUUGACGGGGGCCCGCACAAGCGGUGGAGCAUGUGGUUUAAUUCGAUGCAACGCGAAGAACCUUACCUGGUCUUGACAUCCACAGAACUUUCCAGAGAUGGAUUGGUGCCUUCGGGAACUGUGAGACAGGUGCUGCAUGGCUGUCGUCAGCUCGUGUUGUGAAAUGUUGGGUUAAGUCCCGCAACGAGCGCAACCCUUAUCCUUUGUUGCCAGCGGUUAGGCCGGGAACUCAAAGGAGACUGCCAGUGAUAAACUGGAGGAAGGUGGGGAUGACGUCAAGUCAUCAUGGCCCUUACGACCAGGGCUACACACGUGCUACAAUGGCAUAUACAAAGAGAAGCGACCUCGCGAGAGCAAGCGGACCUCAUAAAGUAUGUCGUAGUCCGGAUUGGAGUCUGCAACUCGACUCCAUGAAGUCGGAAUCGCUAGUAAUCGUGGAUCAGCAUGCCACGGUGAAUACGUUCCCGGGCCUUGUACACACCGCCCGUCACACCAUGGGAGUGGGUUGCAAAAGAAGUAGGUAGCUUAACCUUCGGGAGGGCGCUUACCACUUUGUGAUUCAUGACUGGGGUGAAGUCGUAACAAGGUAACCGUAGGGGAACCUGCGGUUG